GGGACAGUAGGUUGGUCGUGCCACCGGUACGUACUGGCCUCACUGAUUCCUCCUUCCUGAAGAACCGUAAUGCCAUUAAUUUGGUGUUGCGGGGAAACAGGACUGUUACUUUGAAAAAAUUAGAGUGUUUAAAGCAAGCUAACGCUUGAAUACAUUAGCAUGGAGUAAUGAAAUAGGACGAUCGAUCCUAUUUUGUUGGUUUCUAGGAUUGACGUA
rnacentral:rRNA from 1 species